GAAUAUAUAGCUCAGUGGUAGAACGCAUGCUUGGCAUGCAUGAGGUCCUGGGUUCAACCCUCAGUAUCUCCA
rnacentral:tRNA from 1 species